CCUACGGGGGGCAGCAGUGGGGAAUAUUGGACAAUGGGCGAAAGCCUGAUCCAGCCAUGCCGCGUGUGUGAAGAAGGCCUUCGGGUUGUAAAGCACUUUCAGUGGGGAAGAAAGCCUUGGGGCUAAUACCCUCGAGGAAGGACAUCACCCACAGAAGAAGCACCGGCUAACUCCGUGCCAGCAGCCGCGGUAAUACGGAGGGUGCGAGCGUUAAUCGGAAUUACUGGGCGUAAAGCGCGCGUAGGCGGUCUGAUAAGCCGGUUGUGAAAGCCCCGGGCUCAACCUGGGAACGGCAUCCGGAACUGUCAGGCUAGAGUGCAGGAGAGGAAGGUAGAAUUCCCGGUGUAGCGGUGAAAUGCGUAGAGAUCGGGAGGAAUACCAGUGGCGAAGGCGGUCUUCUGGACUGACACUGACGCUGAGGUGCGAAAGCGUGGGUAGCAAACAGGAUUAGAUACCCGUGUAGUC
rnacentral:rRNA from 1 species